rnacentral:tRNA from 1 species
GAAGUUACAGCUCAGUGGAAGAGUGCAUGCCUAGCAUGUAUGAGGUCCUGGGUUCAAUCCCCAGUACCUCCG